ACGACCUGAGUUUAGGUAAGACUACGGGCCGAAUUUAAGCAUAUUAAUAAGCCCAGGAAAAGAAAACAACUGUGAUUCCCUUAGUAAUGGCGAAUGAAACGGGAACAGGCCAUCGCAGAACUGCAGGUCAUCUUGGCCUUGUGGAAUGUUGCGUUUGGGAGAGUCUCCUCAGUGCUUGGCGGACCAGUCAAAGUCCAACUUGACAGUGGCCACUGCCCAUAGAGGGUGAUAGGCCCGUAAGGCGGUCUGCUAGUGCUGCUGACUUUUCCCUCGAGUCGGGUUGCUUGGGAGUGCAGCCCAAAGUGUGAGGUAAACUCCUCAUAAGCCUAAAUAUGACCCUGAGACCGAUAGCAAACAAGUACGGUGACGGAAGAUUGAAAAGAACUUUGAAGAGAGAGUUCAAUAGUACAUGAAACUGUGUGGUGGUAAACGGAGGGAUUCUUGAAGUUUCCGUCAAGAACUCAGCCUUGGUGUUGGGCAGUCGGGUGCCGUCUGAUCAGCAAUGACAGCAGUGCCAGUCGUGCUUGGCUCACGGGUGCAUUUUCUUGGCGGUUUACGGCAGGAACUGUUUGCCUGUUGACCUAUGGCCCCGGGUGAAGUUAUAGGCCUAGCCUGUAGCCCUGGGUGUCCUGGCUCCACAGCAGACAGGUAAUUGAGAGGACUCG
rnacentral:rRNA from 1 species